CCUACGGGAGGCAGCAGUGAGGAAUAUUGGUCAAUGGACGAGAGUCUGAACCAGCCAAGUAGCGUGAAGGAUGACUGCCCUAUGGGUUGUAGACCUCUUUUAUAUGGGAAUAAAAUGCUCCACGUGUGGGGUUUUGUAUGUACCAUAUGAAUAAGGAUCGGCUAACUCCGUGCCAGCAGCCGCGGUAAUACGGAGGAUCCGAGCGUUAUCCGGAUUUAGUGGGGUUAAAGGGAGCGUAGGUGGAUUGUUAAGUCAGUUGUGAAAGUUUGCGGCUCAACCGUAAAAUUGCAGUUGAAACUGGCAUUCUUGAGUACAGUAGAGGUGGGCGGAAUUCGUGGUGUAGCGGUGAAAUGCUUAGAUAUCACGAAGAACUCCGAUUGUGAAGGCAGCUCACUGGACUGCAACUGACACUGAGGCUCGAAAGUGUGGGUAUCAAACAGGAUUAGAUACCCCUAUAGUC
rnacentral:rRNA from 1 species